rnacentral:rRNA from 1 species
GCAUAACGCGAAGAACCUUACCUGGCCUUGACAUGUCCGGAAUCCUGCAGAGAUGCGGGAGUGCUCGAAAGAGAGCCGUAACACAGGUGCUGCAUGGCUGUCGUCAGCUCGUGUCGUGAGAUGUUGGGUUAAGUCCCGCAACGAGCGCAACCCUUGCCAUUAGUUGCUACAUUUAGUUGAGCACUCUAAUGGGACUGCCGGUGACAAACCGGAGGAAGGUGGGGAUGACGUCAAGUCCUCAUGGCCCUUAUAGGUGGGGCUACACACGUCAUACAAUGGCUGGUACAAAGGGUUGCCAACCCGCGAGGGGGAGCUAAUCCCAUAAAGCCAGUCGUAGUCCGGAUCGCAGUCUGCAACUCGACUGCGUGAAGUCGGAAUCGCUAGUAAUCGUGGAUCAGAAUGUCACGGUGAAUACGUUCCCGGGUCUUGUACACACCG